UCAGAUAGUAGUUUAAACAAAAAUAAUGACAUUGGAAGUCAAAGAUCAAAAAAAUUUGUUAUCUGAU
rnacentral:tRNA from 1 species